ACAGGGUGAAUUCCAGACAAAAACCAAUCAGGGGCAGCCAACACCUUUCAACAAAGGACCCCCUCCCAGGCAGUAACCAGCCAGGCCCCGAAACUACAAGGUCACUAAACACCAAUCUAGGUGGCAAACCGCAACAUUCACACGUGCCUCAACCAGACAAGAGCCCCCUCUCUCCAGAAUAUUUAAAUAUAUUACCUUUUCUUUUCUGACUUAUAGCUGAUUCAAAAUCCCUCCUCUUCUAACAACAACUCUAUUUCUCUUCUCAUUUCACUUUUCCUCUGACACAAACUCUCUCCUGGCAAUUUUACUCCCAAACCUUUGCCUUUUUAAAAAAAAUGCCUUUCAUUUAGACCACAGCAAUCUCUUCACUAACUUUCACUACAACCCAUCUCUUCACUAACUUUCUUUAAACAUUCUUAAACAACGUUUUAAUCUCUUGAAGCUUUUUGCAUCUAAAAACAAAACCAUACAACAACAAGCUACUACACCAAGGAUCCUUUUUUCUUCCUUCAUAUGGGGAUUCUGGGGAUUCUAAUCCACAGAAACCUCUUCAGCCUAUUGGGACUUCCACUUUUUCCCCCAGUGCAAUAUUUGUAUUAUCACUAUCUUUUUCCUGGGCCGAUGGCCAGGACAUCACUCUUAUCUGCUCAAAAUUGACCUCUCACUUCUGGGCAUAGUGCCCAGAUUUUCCAAGUCCAGUCUCUUUUUACCUUUCACUAACAAAUAUUUUGUAAGAACGAAGAUUUAUUUCUACAUCUCAUUUCUAGCCAUUUUUGUGGACUCCCUGUUCUAUUUUCCUUAAGCUAAGUGUACUAGACUGCAACAAACAGCAACAAAAAUGGAAAUAUGCUUGGAUGGAAGGGCAACAGAGGCAAAUUUUUGGUCUCUGAAGAUCUUGGCUGGCCCAUUACAUUGAUCAUUCAAAUGGUUAUAGAAUUUACUGACGUGUCCAGAAGAAAAAUCUAGUGGAAUUAAUGAAACCUGAUGAAACAGGCAGAAAGACAACUCUUCACGGAGGUUCCACUCACUGCCUCCAAUCCUGCUUCUCCCUUUUCCAGAAUGGAUAGAAAGUUCAAUGAAAACAGAGUCCAGCUAAUCAGCAGAAGAAACUUCAUGAAAAGUCAAGCUAUUUAAUGGUAGAACAGAAUGCCUCUGGUAGUAUUGGGUUCUCCUUCACUGGACGUAUUUAAACAGAACCUGGAUGGAUUACAUUCAUAUCUGAGUAUCUGCUUCUUAGCUUGUGCUCAAGGCACAGCACACAUUUUUAGGUUAAGAGAAUGGGAAAUGUACAGCCCUCCAAAUGUGAUUGGAUUUUAACUCCAUCCAGCCCUAGCCGGAAUGACCAAUAGUAAGUGAUAAGAGGAAUUUCAGUGCCUUCUCUUCCACGAUAAUGCUCAGUUGUGGAAUCCAAGAACUAGCUGGGAGGACCCAGGUUGUUAUUAUAGGCUGAAGAAUGCAGUGGAGAUUCCAGGGGCUGAAGGUUUACACUAAAUAUACAUUCUGUAUUACUUAGCUAUGGCUCUUCUUCCAGAGAAAAAGAAUGACUGACCCAGGGAGUUCCAUGGUUAAGUAUGGUUUCUGUUUAUUUUCACAGUGUAUAGGAACAGUUCUUGGUCAAAACUCUCCAAACAUCUGUAAAUCAAUACAGUACAAUAUGACCAAAUAAAAUAGUUCUGGCAUGUUCUUCCAGAUGAACUGUUAGGUUUUAAA